UACAGAGGUGGCAAGCGUUGUUCGGAAUUACUGGGCGUAAGGGCGCGUAGGCGGCCUUCUAAGUCAGACGUGAAAUCCCCCGGCUUAACCUGGGAACUGCGUCUGAUACUGGGAGGCUUGAGUAUGGGAGAGGGAUGUAGAAUUCCAGGUGUAGCGGUGAAAUGCGUAGAUAUCUGGAGGAAUACCGGUGGCGAAGGCGGCAUCCUGGACCAUAACUGACGCUGAGGCGCGAAAGCUAGGGGAGCAAACGGG
rnacentral:rRNA from 1 species